rnacentral:lncRNA from 1 species
UCAGGAUGUUGAUUUUCUUCAUCAUAACUUAGAUUGAUGACAGUUGGAUUAGAAUUUUGUGGUUCAGUAAUAACCACUGAAGCAGCUGACGCAAUAGACCCAGUAGAUAGAGCAUCAAGGUCCAGAAUUUCCAAAUAUGCUUCAUCUUCUGGGUUUGGGACAUGAGGGUAAGUUUAACUCAUGUGGUUCUAGAACAUAAGGUAAGUCUAUCCUUGGUGGUGGUGGCCAAAUAUCAGUAGCUAUAAUCGCAGCAUCUUCUAAUACCUGGUCGUAAGAGUGUGCUUCAAUAUUUAAUUGAUAUUGACUCCUAAUAUUGUUGGCAUGCAACCGAUGUCUAACAAUCAGUCUCUGCAUCUCUGGUGUAUAAAAUAUCCUUUAUAUCUUGUAUCUAUAACUUCAUUAACUACGUCUACAUAAGCCUGGUUGCGUAGACAGCUGUGGUAUACUUCUUCGUCUACUAGGAUGAGGCCAUUGAGUCCAACUUGGAAUCCUCCCCAUGUAUCAUCACUCUGAUCGGGUUGCAUCCUAAACAUUAAUUUAACAAGUCAGUGAAUAACAAAACAAUUUAAUGAAACCGUAAAACUCUUUUGACGCCCCAGACUCCAGGGUCGGUGAAAAUCCCGCGCCUGGUGAAUGAGGAAAAAAAUAAAAAUAAAAAGAAGCCGAAACUCCAAAAUCUUGCAACUUUACAAUUAAUAAAUAAAACUCUAUCACUCUCAUCCAAUUUAGCCUUAACUAGUUUAGUCCUCCUCUUGCCCACUAAUUCAUCUGAAAAAUUAAACAGGGUGAGGGAUGAGCAACCACCAUUCAGUAGGGACAUGAGACCUUACCACGGUAGAUUGAUAUAACUAAAUUACAAGACAUACAAUCACAUAACAUAUACAAGAUAAUAAUGAAUGAAUGCUUUUCAUCUAAUCCCAUUAAUUCAUAUAACUGGACAAGCAAACCUGCCCAUUGAUAUGAACUAACCCACAUCUCAAUCAUCCCAUAAUUUCUCCAUUUUGUCUAACUCCCCGUCGCUAGUCCUGUAUCACCCAAUAAAAACUAUGUACAUUGUGGGAUUCUUAAGAUCUGGGACCUACCAAGAGUUAGACUCAACUAUACACAAAAAUUAUUUCUAUUACCCUCUUUUCCAUACUUUCUUCAUCAACCCAAGAAUUCCAGCCAUCUCCGAUAACAUAUGAACAUGUCAUUAUUAAUAAAAUAAUACAAUGAUAAUUAACAAAACGUAAACACCCAAUAAUAAAGAAUAUCAACCAAACUGUAAUAUCACGCAUAUUAUAAUACUCAUGAAAUUUAAUUAAAUCAAUCCUCGUAAAGGUCCCCAAGAAACCCCUACCUCGAUUCCAAAGCUUUGCUCCAAAUUCAAAAAAUACAAGCUUAGCCCUAUAUCUCCUCCAAGAAUUUCAUCACCUGGAUGCC